GGGAGGGGCAGGUUCACCCUCAGUCUGUGUGGGCACUGUCUAAUCAGCUGCCAGUGCAGCUAGAAUAAAGCAGGCAGAAGAAGUUGGAAAGAGCAGACUUGCUGAGUCUUCUGGCCUUCAUCUUUCUCCUGUGCAGGAUGCUUCCUGCCCUCAAACUUCAGACUCCAAGUUCUCCAGCUUUUGGUUUCUUGGACUUACACCAGUGAUUUGCCAGGGACUCUCGGGCCUACUACCACAGACUGAAGGCUGCACUGUUGGCUUCCCUACUUUUGAAGUUUGGGGGCUGGCUUCCUAGUUCCUCAGCUUGUGGAUGACCUACUGUGGGACUUCACCUCGUGAUAGGGUUGUAUACCUGCCAUUUUUCUGUCUUCCUGUGACCCUUCUUCAUCUGGAAUAGAGAAAAUCAGGCUCACUGCUGGUAUUAGAAAGUUCUCAAGGCUACCUUAUCCUUCUUGGUUCCUCUCUCGUCUCCUUCUCCCCAGCUCAACCAGUUUUCUAGAGGCUCCAUUGAGACACAGUUGCACUGCCUGCCACUGUGGACCCCAGCCUUCUGCCAAGUGAGGUACUCACAAUGGCUCCUUGUGCCUUGCUGCUGAGGGCUUCUUGAGUCCAUGCUAACGUGUUCCUGAAGAGGAGUUGAUGCUGCACAGUGAAUUGAGGGCCAAAUCAGCAAUACAACCUGGGUCGCCUGGAUUUCAGCGCAUGGCCUUUCCAAGAUAACAUGCUACUCUCUCGUCCACAGAUUUUGAAGAAAAAAAAAGAUCACCUAAAGAGAAAAUAGAGAAAAACUAAAGCAAGACCACAGAAGAGCUGGAUGUGGAUAGAACAUCUAGACCAGGAAGAACUCAGCCUGGAGGAGUAUGGGAGAAACACAGCAACGGAAAACCUGGAACAUGCAGAGUACUCUUGUAAGUGCUAGUACCCAUAAGCUCUCAUGAUUUUUAAAGAAAGGCAAACUCAACUUGAGGCCGCUUCUAGAAGAAUAAUCACUGUUUUCUGGAACUUAGACUUUUUGAUCCAGGUGCUCUUACAUUAGAAUGUAAAGGCAAAAUCCUAACUGCAGACACAUUUAUCUCUUCACUUUCUCUAAUAUGUAUUACAGCUGUUUCAUGAUGACAAAUAAACCACACAAUGAAACAGAUUUAUGCUGCCAAGAAAUCACGAUCACCAACAUCAAUUCCGUUUUCAACAAAGUCCCACAAACUCACUGUGAUCUUUUGCUAAUUCAUUCUCUCUUUCUAUCCAGUGCCUAUUUUGACUUUUACCACUCCCCUUUACAGAGAAACCAGACACCAUUUAGAUAGGAACCCCAACAAUUUUCUGCAAAUCCCAUUUUCAAACCUAGAUUUUCCAAUUAUGUAUGUAUAUAUAUACAUCCAUAUAUAUCCAUAUAUAUACAUCCAUAUAUAUCCAUAUAUAUAUAUCCAUAUAUAUACAUCCAUAUAUAUCCAUAUAUAUAUCCAUAUAUAUAUCCAUAUAUAUAUUCAUAUAUAUAUCCAUAUAUAUAUCCAUAUAUAUAUUCAUAUAUAUAUCCAUAUAUAUAUCUCUAUAUAUAUCUAUCCAUACAUAUAUCUAUCCGUAUAUAUAUAUAUAGAUAUAUAUAUGGAAGCUGACAUAAAGAUUCAGUCAAAACAUCUCUUCUCACACUAUUCUCUCUCUUUAUUCUCUCAUAUAUUCUGUGGUCAUGCCUUCAGUUAUCCUAUUAUAUAUUGUUGUCUCUCAAAUUUAAAUAUUUUGUCCAGUAACAACUUUUGGAUCACUAGACAUAUUUAGUAAACUAACUUUAAGGAAUCACUGCUUAGAUGGUUAUCUCAGCAUCAACAUCAAAAUUUAAGCUCAUAAUAUCUUUCCCUAACAAACUUCUCAAUUUGCACAUUCAUCAGUCUUCCUACUAAACAGGCAUAUUUUCCAAGUUCAGCUAAAGAUACAACUAUUCUAAUCAGAUUUUCCUCAUAUCCAACCAAUUUAUACCCCAUUAAAAAAAUCCUAAAUACAACUUUAAUGUCUACACUGUUCUCUAGUUCACUGAAAUAGAACAAAUGACCAGAAUUCCUCAUGCAAAUCAUCAAGAUGUCAGAUACCAUCCCCUCUCCACUCUUCAUAUGGUUAGGAAGAACUCAUGCUAUUCUCCUGCUGAAGACUCUCAAAAUCCAUUGACUCUACCUGAAAACCCCAAAGCCUUAAUGUGGUUUUUAAGUUAGUGAAGGAAUGGAGAUCAGUGAUUACCUGUGUGGGACCUGACUCCUCCUUCCUGAGCUCAGACUCUAAGCAAAUGUCUACCCCAUCUGGGUCCCAGAUUUUGAUUGCUUCCAAAAGAAGUUUUCUCCAGGUAAACAAUGAGUUUAUGGUCUUAGAAAGAGGAGAGAGAACAUAAAAGGAGCAAAUAAUUAUUAAGAAAUCUGAUUUCAUGUUUGAGAAAUCAAACAUUAUGAAUUAUUAAGAAAUCUGAUUUCAUAUUUGAGCGAAGGUAACCUAACCUAAGCUGUGAGUGACUGAUUUAGAGAGAGAAAGAGACAGGGAGAAAGAGAGAUACUGUGUGGUGACCGCUUUGAGAGAUCAAAAGAGAAGAUAUUCUUUGUUACACCACUCUAUUCUAUCUUGGUUAGCAGAGUCUCAUGUACACUUCUUCUAAAACAAGGGUAAUACUAUUGACCUCACCCACUCCCUAAGGACAAUAAAUUUGGUCACUUGCUAAUGAUAGCCCUUAAUACAUUUUCCAACUCCUUCCAUUCUUUAAAUUCUCCCUUCUCAUUUAAUGCUAUAUUGCUUCCCUAUCUUUCUUGUAAGUUGAAAUGUUUUUCAUGACUCUUUUGAGGUAUAAUUUGCAUAUCAUAAAGUCACCCAUGUGAACUUUAGCAAAUGUAUCAAGUCGUGCAACCAUCACUAUAAUCAAUUUUAGAACAUUUAAUCGCCUCAGUAAGAUUCCCCAUACCCCUUGCAGUUAAUCCCCCAUUUCGUCCCCAGCCCCAGGCAACCACUAAUCUAUUUUCUGUCUUUAUAGAUUUGCCUUUUCUGGACAUUUCAUAUGAAUGGAUAGAAUUGUACAAUAUGUGGUUUUUAUGGCUGGCUUAUUUCACUUAACAUAAUGUUUUUGAGGUUUAUCUUUGUGGUAGCAUGUAUUAAUAGUUUAUUCAUUUUUAUUGCUGAAUAGCAUCCUACCAUAUAAAAGAUGUGCCACACUUUUUGUAGCCAUUUUCCAGUCAAUAGAUAUUUGAGUUGUUUCCACUUUUUGUCUAUUAUGAAUAAUGCUGCAAUGGAAGCUAACAUAAAAGGUUUUGUUUAAAAAUCUGUUUUUAUCUGGGUAGAUACCUAGGAGUGGAAUUGCUAAGUUAUAUGUCUAAAUUUUUAAGAAACUGGUGAACUGUUUUCCAAAAUGGGUGACCCAUGUUUUUGUCAGUUGAAUUUUAUCUUGAAAAUAAGCAAACAGACACACACAAAAAAAUGUUCUUUACUCCAAAGCUUUAAUGUGGGGAGAAAGAAAAGUUUGUAUUUAUUUUAUUUUAAAUAUGUAUUUAAACUUUAAAUCUGUAUUAAAUCUAUACUUCUUUUAAAACAAUAUUAAUUGUAAACUAAGCUACUGAGUUAGUAAGAGGGUUGGGUGAAUAUAGGUGGGGUGAUAUAGCGGGGAGUUUGGAGAAACACUAUAUGAAUCAAUUCUAUGUCAUUAUCCAAUUUUAGAAACUUUAAUUUUUGAUUUUUUUUUCUUAGAAUUAAGAAUGAAUGGUUGAAACACAUUGGCUUCAAUUUACCAGUGGCUCUUGCUGCCUGCUUUUUUGUGUUGAGAAAAAUUUUGCAUCUAGAUCUUUGUGCAGGCUCAAUGGAAAGAAGGACGCUGAUUGAUGAGUCUGCACUGAUCAGUGAGAAGGGGGUUGUUUUAUUAUUUGGCUAUUUAUUUACUUUCCAGUACUGAGGGUUAAUGUGUUUCCUCUUAGAAAAAGAAGCAUUGAAUGAAAACCAAUUAAAAAAUCAUCAAAUAACAGAUAAUUUUUGUUCCACAAGAAUGAAUUUCUAGUGGUUAAUUUCAGGCAGAAUUAUGGUAGUGUUGGGUCAGAGCCUCCUUAAAAAUAUGCUUCACCUCAAAUCAUGUGAGUCAACAUUUUUCAGUUUUAGGUAUUAAUUUUAACCAAUAUAAUCUGUGAUUUUUAAUCCAAAAACGUGGUUUUCUGCUUGCCUUCCACUUGGAUCUGCCUCAUCUCCUGCAUGUUUAUUUCUGCUUAACCUUUGCAUGACAACAUUAACCAAAGGGGGGUUUUAGGAGCACAAUAUGCAUAUAAAUUUUUUGUGUGUGUGGUGGGGAGUCAGCCAAAAUCACAGAUUUCCAGCCUUACACAAUAGAAGAUCUUCAAUUUGACCAGCCCUUCCCACCCACUGUGGUGAGUAUUCUCUUUUACAGCCAUCAGCGUUCUCAAGGCAGCUGAAUAUGAGUCUGUAAUUACAAGGGAAACAAUGGCUCCAGGGCAGGAAAUGUGCAUGAAAUAUAAUGCAGCUGAGAGCAGCAUUAGCCCAAAGUGCUCUAAUGGUUUUAGGACCUCACCAGGUGGUAAGCCAUCUCCCUGGGUUUUCAUUUCCACCCACCAUUUGCCAGGUAACCUUUGCCCAGUCACUUACCUUCCCAGGGUGCUGUCCUCAGAAGGCAUUAUGGGAUUGGUCAUUUGCUGGCCUGGCAGGGGGAUCUCCCAGCUGGAUGAGGUCAUGCAGACAAAGCUUACAGAAAGUGGUAAGCCUUCAUUAUAUGGGCAGAAACGGAGCGGCAGUGGGAGGAAGGUCUACUUCAAAGCUGAGUCUACAUGGAGGGAGAGAUGGUGAUUAGAUGGUGAGACUUGAAGGGCCCUGGAUAAAGCUUUCCUGUCUCUGUGUAUCACCAGUAGUAUGGCUUUUCUCAGUGGGAAAAACUGAUGCAGUUGAAUUAUUUCCCUACUAAAAAGCAUGAAUAAUAUGUAACAGAAGGAAGAACAUUUUGUAAAUCCCCUCAGCAUUUUUCCAACUUAAGUGUGUAUGUGAAUUACUGGGACAUUUUGUUAAAAUGCAGAUCCCAAUUCAGUAGCUCUAUGGUGGGGCCUGAGAUUGUUUUUUGUUUUUUUUUUCUUUCUUUUUUUUUUUUUUUUUUUUGAGUCAGAGUCUCGCUCUGUCGCCCAGGCUGGAGUGGAGUGGCGCGAUCACGGCUCACUACAAGCUCCGCUUCCUGGGUUCACGCC
rnacentral:lncRNA from 1 species